UACGGGGGGGGCAAGCGUUGUUCGGAAUUACUGGGCGUAAAGGGCUCGUAGGUGGCCAACUAAGUCAGACGUGAAAUCCCUCAGCUUAACUGGGGAACUGCGUCUGAUACUGGAUGGCUAGAGGUUGGGAGAGGGAUGCGGAAUUCCAGGUGUAGCGGUGAAAUGCGUAGAUAUCUGGAGGAACACCGGUGGCGAAGGCGGCAUCCUGGACCAAUUCUGACGCUGAGGAGCGAAAGCCAGGGGAGCAAACGGG
rnacentral:rRNA from 1 species